AACGAACGCUGGCGGCAGGCCUAACACAUGCAAGUCGAGCGGGGGAGCAAUCCCUAGCGGCGGACGGGUUAGUAACGCGUGGGAACGUGCCCAAAGGUACGGAAUAGCCUCGGGAAACUGAGAGUAAUACCGUAUGUGCCCUUCGGGGGAAAGAUUUAUCGCCUUUGGAUCGGCCCGCGUUGGAUUAGGUAGUUGGUGGGGUAAUGGCCUACCAAGCCGACGAUCCAUAGCUGGUUUGAGAGGAUGAUCAGCAACACUGGGACUGAGACACGGCCCAGACUCCUACGGGAGGCAGCAGUGGGGAAUCUUAGACAAUGGGGGAAACCCUGAUCUAGCCAUGCCGCGUGAGCGAUGAAGGCCUUAGGGUUGUAAAGCUCUUUCAGCUGGGAAGAUAAUGACGGUACCAGCAGAAGAAGCCCCGGCUAACUCCGUGCCAGCAGCCGCGGUAAAGUCUGUACU
rnacentral:rRNA from 1 species